AUUGAGCGCUGGCGGCAGGCUUAACACAUGCAAGUCGAACGAUGAUUAUCUAGCUUGCUAGAUAUGAUUAGUGGCGGACGGGUGAGUAACAUUUAGGAAUCUGCCUAGUAGUGGGGGAUAGCUCGGGGAAACUCGAAUUAAUACCGCAUACGACCUACGGGUGAAAGGGGGCGCAAGCUCUUGCUAUUAGAUGAGCCUAAAUCAGAUUAGCUAGUUGGUGGGGUAAAGGCCCACCAAGGCGACGAUCUGUAACUGGUCUGAGAGGAUGAUCAGUCACACCGGAACUGAGACACGGUCCGGACUCCUACGGGAGGCAGCAGUGGGGAAUAUUGGACAAUGGGGGCAACCCUGAUCCAGCCAUGCCGCGUGUGUGAAGAAGGCCUUUUGGUUGUAAAGCACUUUAAGCAGGGAGGAGAGGCUAAUGGUUAAUACCCAUUAGAUUAGACGUUACCUGCAGAAUAAGCACCGGCUAACUCUGUGCCAGCAGCCGCGGUAAUACAGAGGGUGCGAGCGUUAAUCGGAAUUACUGGGCGUAAAGCGAGUGUAGGUGGCUCAUUAAGUCACAUGUGAAAUCCCCGGGCUUAACCUGGGAACUGCAUGUGAUACUGGUGGUGCUAGAAUAUGUGAGAGGGAAGUAGAAUUCCAGGUGUAGCGGUGAAAUGCGUAGAGAUCUGGAGGAAUACCGAUGGCGAAGGCAGCUUCCUGGCAUAAUAUUGACACUGAGAUUCGAAAGCGUGGGUAGCAAACAGGAUUAGAUACCCUGGUAGUCCACGCCGUAAACGAUGUCUACUAGCCGUUGGGGUCCUUGAGACUUUAGUGGCGCAGUUAACGCGAUAAGUAGACCGCCUGGGGAGUACGGCCGCAGGGUUAAAACUCAAAUGAAUUGACGGGGGCCCGCACAAGCGGUGGAGCAUGUGGUUUAAUUCGAUGCAACGCGAAGAACCUUACCUGGUCUUGACAUAGUGAGAAUCCUGCAGAGAUGCGGGAGUGCCUUCGGGAAUUCACAUACAGGUGCUGCAUGGCUGUCGUCAGCUCGUGUCGUGAGAUGUUGGGUUAAGUCCCGCAACGAGCGCAACCCUUUUCCUUAUUUGCCAGCGGGUUAAGCCGGGAACUUUAAGGAUACUGCCAGUGACAAACUGGAGGAAGGCGGGGACGACGUCAAGUCAUCAUGGCCCUUACGACCAGGGCUACACACGUGCUACAAUGGUAGGUACAGAGGGUUGCCACACAGCGAUGUGAUGCUAAUCUCAAAAAGCCUAUCGUAGUCCGGAUCGGAGUCUGCAACUCGACUCCAUGAAGUCGGAAUCGCUAGUAAUCGCAGAUCAGAAUGCUGCGGUGAAUACGUUCCCGGGCCU
rnacentral:rRNA from 1 species